UUGAUCCUGGCUCGAAUGAACGCUGGCGGCAGGCCUAACACACUGUAAGUCGAACGGAGUUAUAUUGUAGCUUGCUAUGGUAUAACUUAGUGGCAGACGGGUGAGUAAUGUAUAGGAAUCUACCUAGUAGUACGGAAUAAUUGUUGGAAACGGCAACUAAUGCCGUAUACGCCCUACGGGGGAAAAAUUUAUUGCUAUUAGAUGAGCCUAUAUUAGAUUAGCUAGUUGGUGGAGUAAUAGCCUACCAAGGCAAUGAUCUAUAGCUGAUCUGAGAGGAUGAUCAGCCACACUGGAACUGAGAUACGGUCCAGACUCCUACGGGAGGCAGCAGUGGGGAAUAUUGGACAAUGGGCGAAAGCCUGAUCCAGCCAUGCCGCAUGAGUGAAGAAGGCCUUUGGGUUGUAAAGCUCUUUUAGUGAGGAAGAUAAUGACGGUACUCACAGAAGAAGUCCUGGCUAACUCCGUGCCAGCAGCCGCGGUAAUACGGAGAGGGCUAGCGUUAUUCGGAAUUAUUGGGCGUAAAGGGCGCGUAGGCGGAUUAGUAAGUUAAAAGUGAAAUCCCAAGGCUCAACCUUGGAAUUGCUUUUAAAACUGCUAAUCUAGAGAUUGAAAGAGGAUAGAGGAAUUCCUAGUGUAGAGGUGAAAUUCGUAAAUAUUAGGAGGAACACCAGUGGCGAAGGCGUCUAUCUGGUUCAAAUCUGACGCUGAGGCGCGAAGGCGUGGGGAGCAAACAGGAUUAGAUACCCUGGUAGUCCACGCUGUAAACGAUGAAUGUUAAAUAUGGGAAGUUUUACUUUCUGUAU
rnacentral:rRNA from 1 species